rnacentral:rRNA from 1 species
GAUGAACGCUGGCGGCGUGCCUAAUACAUGCAAGUCGAGCGAACGGACGAGAAGCUUGCUCCUCUGACGUUAGCGGCGGACGGGUGAGUAACACGUGGAUAACCUACCUAUAAGACUGGGAUAACUUCGGGAAACCGGAGCUAAUACCGGAUAAUAUAUUGAACCGCAUGGUUCAAAAGUGAAAGACGGUUUUGCUGUCACUUAUAGAUGGAUCCGCGCUGCAUUAGCUAGUUGGUAAGGUAACGGCUUACCAAGGCAACGAUGCGUAGCCGACCUGAGAGGGUGAUCGGCCACACUGGAACUGAGACACGGUCCAGACUCCUACGGGAGGCAGCAGUAGGGAAUCUUCCGCAAUGGGCGAAAGCCUGACGGAGCAACGCCGCGUGAGUGAUGAAGGUCUUCGGAUCGUAAAACUCUGUUAUUAGGGAAGAACAUAUGUGUAAGUAACUAUGCACGUCUUGACGGUACCUAAUCAGAAAGCCACGGCUAACUACGUG